rnacentral:rRNA from 1 species
GACGAACGCUGGCGGCGUGCUUAAUACAUGCAAGUCGAGCGGACCUCGCAGCGCGUUGUUGGUUUCCAGCAACAAGCUGCACAGGUUAGCGGCGAACGGGUGAGUAACGCGUGGGUAAUCUGCCCCCAAGACCGGGAUAACAGGGCGAAAGCGCUGCUAAUACCGGAUAAACUCCUUUUGUCGCCUGGCAAGGGGAGCAAAGCAUUAGCGCUUGGGGAUGAGCCCGCGUUCCAUUAGCUAGUUGGUGGGGUAAGAGCCCACCAAGGCGACGAUGGAUAGCCGGCCUGAGAGGGUGACCGGCCACACUGGGACUGAGACACGGCCCAGACUCCUACGGGAGGCAGCAGUAGGGAAUUUUCGGCAAUGGGGGAAACCCUGACCGAGCAACGCCGCGUGAGGGAUGAAGGUUUUCGGAUCGUAAACCUCUGUCUUUGAGGACGAUAAUGACGGUACUCAAGGAGGAAGCCCCGGCUAACUACGUGCCAGCAGCCCGCGGUAAUACGUAGGGGGCGAGCGUUGUCCGGAAUUACUGGCGUAAAGGGC